rnacentral:rRNA from 1 species
AUGAACGCUGGCGGCGUGCCUAAUACAUGCAGGUCGAGCGCACGGACGAGAAGCUUGCUUCUCUGAUGUUAGCGGCGGACGGGUGAGUAACACGUGGAUAACCUACCUAUAAGACUGAGAUAACUUCGGGAAACCGGAGCUAAUACCGGAUAAUAUUUUGAACCGCAUGGUUCAAAAGUGAAAGACGGUCUUGCUGUCACUUAUAGAUGGAUCCGCGCUGCAUUAGCUAGUUGGUAAGGUAACGGCUUACCAAGGCAACGAUGCAUAGCCGACCUGAGAGGGUGAUCGGCCACACUGGAACUGAGACACGGUCCAGACUCCUACGGGAGGCAGCAGUAGGGAAUCUUCCGCAAUGGGCGAAAGCCUGACGGAGCAACGCCGCGUGAGUGAUGAAGGUCUUCGGAUCGUAAAACUCUGUUAUUAGGGAAGAACAUAUGUGUAAGUAACUGUGCACAUCUUGACGGUACCUAAUCAGAAAGCCACGGCUAACUACGUG